rnacentral:rRNA from 1 species
CGGCGCAGUAUUUUGACUGUGCAAAGGUAGCAUAAUCAUUAGUCUUUUAAUUGAAGGCUUGUAUGAAUGGUUGGACGAAGUAUUAACUGUUUCAUAUAAAUUUAUAAUAAAAUUUUAUAUUUUAGUAAAAAAGCUAAAAUUUUAUUAAAAGACGAGAAGACCCUAUAAAUCUUUAUAUUUAAAUUUUUAUUAAAUUUUUUAAAUUUUUUUAAUUUAAUUUAAUUUAAAUAUUUUAUUGGGGUGAUAUUAAAAUUUAUAAAACUUUUAAUUUUUAAUAUUCAUUAAUUUAUGUUUUAUUGAUCUAUUAAUAAUGAUUAAAAGAAUAAGUUACUUUAGGGAUAACAGCGUAAUUUUUUUGGAGAGUUCUUAUUAAUAAAAAAGUUUGCGACCUCGAUGUUGGAUUAAGAAAUAAUUUUAGGUGUAGAAGCUUAAAAAAUUAAGUCUGUUCGACUUUUAAAUUCUUACAUGAUCUGAGUUCAGACCGGCGUAACCCAGGUUGGUUUCUAUCCUUAAUUUUUUGUAAUAUUUUAGUACGAAAGGACCAAAUAUUAAAUUUAUUAAACUGUUUUUUUAUUGAAAUUAAUUAGUUUAAUU